UCGGCUUAGAGUUUGAUCAUGGCUCAGAUUGAACGCUGGCGGCAGGCUUAACACAUGCAAGUCGAACGGUAAAGUAGCUUGCUACUUACGAGUGGCGGACGGGUGAGUAACGUAUGGGAAUUUACCGAAUGGAGGGGGACAACAGUUGGAAACGGCUGCUAAUACCGCAUAACGUUGAGAGACCAAAGGGUUUCGACUUGCCAUUUGAUGAGCCCAUAUGAGAUUAGCUAGUUGGUGUGGUAAUGGCUCACCAAGGCGACGAUCUCUAGCUGGUUUGAGAGGAUGACCAGCCACACUGGGACUGAGACACGGCCCAGACUCCUACGGGAGGCAGCAGUGGGGAAUAUUGCACAAUGGGGGGAACCCUGAUGCAGCCAUGCCGCGUGUAUGAAGAAGGCCUUAGGGUUGUAAAGUACUUUCGUGGAGGAGGAAGGGUUUACGUAAUCGUGGACAUUGACGUUACUCCAAGAAGAAGCACCGGCUAACUCCGUGCCAGCAGCCGCGGUAAUA
rnacentral:rRNA from 1 species